rfam:Asian citrus Psyllid, Diaphorina citri - Florida Strain, whole genome shotgun sequence.
GCCUCGGUGGUGUAAUGGUCAAGACGCUCGCCUGGUAAACAGUAGGCCGUGGGUUCAAUCCCAGCUGAGGUA